rnacentral:rRNA from 1 species
ACAGUGUCAGGCGGGCAGUUUGACUGGGGCGGUCGCCUCCUAAAAGGUAACGGAGGCGCUCAAAGGUUCCCUCAGAAUGGUUGGAAAUCAUUCAUAGAGUGUAAAGGCAUAAGGGAGCUUGACUGCGAGACCUACAAGUCGAGCAGGGUCGAAAGACGGACUUAGUGAUCCGGUGGUUCCGCAUGGAAGGGCCAUCGCUCAACGGAUAAAAGCUACCCCGGGGAUAACAGGCUUAUCUCCCCCAAGAGUUCACAUCGACGGGGAGGUUUGGCACCUCGAUGUCGGCUCAUCGCAUCCUGGGGCUGUAGUCGGUC